rnacentral:rRNA from 1 species
UACGGAGGGUCCAAGCGUUAUCCGGAAUCAUUGGGUUUAAAGGGUCCGUAGGCGGUUUUGUAAGUCAGUGGUGAAAGCCCAUCGCUCAACGGUGGAACGGCCAUUGAUACUGCAAGACUUGAAUUAUUAGGAAGUAACUAGAAUAUGUAGUGUAGCGGUGAAAUGCUUAGAGAUUACAUGGAAUACCAAUUGCGAAGGCAGGUUACUACUAAUAUAUUGACGCUGAUGGACGAAAGCGUGGGUACGUCGAACAGG